rnacentral:rRNA from 1 species
AGCGAACGCUGGCGGCAGGCUUAACACAUGCAAGUCGAACGAUCCUUCGGGAUAGUGGCGGACGGGUGAGUAACACGUGGGAACGUGCCUUUAGGUUCGGAACAACACAGGGAAACUUGUGCUAAUACCGGAUAAGCCCUUCGGGGGAAAGAUUUAUCGCCUUUAGAGCGGCCCGCGUCUGAUUAGCUUGUUGGUGAGGUAAAGGCUCACCAAGGCUACGAUCAGUAGCUGGUCUGAGAGGAUGGCCAGCCACAUUGGGACUGAGACACGGCCCAAACUCCUACGGGAGGCAGCAGUGGGGAAUCUUGCGCAAUGGGCGAAAGCCUGACGCAGCCAUGCCGCGUGGAUGAUGAAGGUCUUAGGAUUGUAAAAUCCUUUCAGCGGGGACGAUAAUGACGGUACCCGCAGAAGAAGCCCCGGCUAACUUCGUGCCAGCAGCCGCGGUAAUACGAAGGGGGCUAGCGUUGCUCGGAAUUACUGGGCGUAAAGGGAGCGUAGGCGGAUGUUUAAGUUGGGGGUGAAAGCCCAGGGCUCAACCCUGGAACUGCCUUCAAUACUGGACAUCUAGAGUAUGGGAGAGGUGUGUGGAACUCCGAGUGUAGAGGUGAAAUUCGUAGAUAUUCGGAAGAACACCAGUGGCGAAGGCGACACACUGGCCCAUUACUGACGCUGAGGCUCGAAAGCGUGGGGAGCAAACAGGAUUAGAUACCCUGGUAGUCCACGCUGUAAACGAUGAGUGCUAGUUGUCGGCAUGCAUGCAUGUCGGUGACGCAGCUAACGCAUUAAGCACUCCGCCUGGGGAGUACGGUCGCAAGAUUA